rnacentral:misc_RNA from 1 species
CUUAUUAUCUAUCACGGCGCACAAUUUGUCGUGGCUUGGAUGCUGUGCCAACCGGCCUGUUUAUCUCACGUAUCCAUGGUAUACGGUUGUGGGAUGCUGGUUUAAUGGCUCCAUCCUAAUGUGUCCAGCUGCAACAUUGUUCGGGUCUGAUGGCUCGUUUGGGUUGUAGCGAUGGGUUUUGCCCUUGUCGUGGCUCAAUGUUGUUGAUCACGCUUGGUGUCUUGAUCUGUCGUUCAUGGCUCUUUCUUGCUAUUAUGAUCUGGGAAUCCCUUGCAGUUGAUGAGCAUUUAAAAGCUUUAACCUGUUGACCCUGACCUCG